rnacentral:rRNA from 1 species
UACAGAGGUCCCAAGCGUUGUUCGGAUUCAUUGGGCGUAAAGGGUGCGUAGGUGGCGCCGUAAGUCGGGUGUGAAAUUUCGGAGCUUAACUCCGAAACUGCAUUCGAUACUGCGGUGCUUGAGGACUGGAGAGGAGACUGGAAUUCAUGGUGUAGCAGUGAAAUGCGUAGAGAUCAUGAGGAAGACCAGUGGCGAAGGCGGGUCUCUGGACAGUUCCUGACGCUGAGGCACGAAGGCCAAGGGAGCAAACAGG